rnacentral:rRNA from 1 species
GACGAACGCUGGCGGCGUGCUUAACACAUGCAAGUCGUACGGUAAGGCCCUUUCGGGGGUACACGAGUGGCGAACGGGUGAGUAACACGUGAGUAACCUGCCCACAACUUUGGGAUAACGCUAGGAAACUGGUGCUAAUACUGGAUAUGUGCUCCUGCUGCAUGGUGGGGGUUGGAAAGCUCCGGCGGUUGUGGAUGGACUCGCGGCCUAUCAGCUUGUUGGUGGGGUAGUGGCCUACCAAGGCGGCGACGGGUAGCCGGCCUGAGAGGGUGACCGGCCACAUUGGGACUUAGAUACGGCCCAGACUCCUACGGGAGGCAGCAGUGGGGAAUAUUGCACAAUGGGCGCAAGCCUGAUGCAGCAACGCCGCGUGCGGGAUGACGGCCUUCGGGUUGUAAACCGCUUUCAGCAGGGACGAAGCUUUUUGUGACGGUACCUGCAGAAGAAGCACCGGCUAACUACGUG